rnacentral:misc_RNA from 1 species
AACCAUUCUCACCUGCGGCUAGACCUGCGGAGGGAUCAUUACCGAGUUUACAACUCCCAAACCCCUGUGAACAUACCUAUACGUUGCCUCGGCGGAUCAGCCCGCGCCCCGUAAAACGGGACGGCCCGCCCGAGGACCCCUAAACUCUGUUUUUAGUGGAACUUCUGAGUAAAACAAACAAAUAAAUCAAAACUUUCAACAAUGGAUCU